rnacentral:rRNA from 1 species
UAGCGGCGUUGUUUGACGUUAGCGACAGAAGAAGCACCGGCUAACUCCGUGCCAGCAGCCGCGGUAAUACGGAGGUGCGAGCGUUAAUCGGAAUUACUGGGCGUAAAGCGCAUGCAGGUGGUUUGUUAAGUCAGAUGUGAAAGCCGGGCGUUAACCUCGGAAUAGCAUUUGAAACUAGGCAGACUAGAGUACUGUAGAGGGGGGUAGGAAUUUCAGGUGUAGCGGUGAAAUGCGUAGAGAUCUGAAGGAAUACCGGUGGCGAAGGCGGCCCCCUCGGACAGAUACUGACACUCAGAUGCGAAAGCGUGGGGAGCAAACAGGAUUAGAUACCCUGGUAG